AGACGGGGGCUGGGUCAGCCUUGUUACCUCUUUGCUGGCCAGAAAGGAAAGAGACCCUCACAGGCUUUCUCAUCUUUAAUGUGUGUCUUCACAGAGCCGUGUACAGCUUCCUUAGUGGUUUAACAGAUUGUCAAUUCUCAAAGCUAAUUACUGAUUGGGUGUUUUUGACAGACAUGGAGGAAACUGCUAGCAGCUUCUUUUCGGACAUCCCUUCCAUGAUGCAAUACCACCACAACAGCACAGAGCACAGAGCUCCUUUGUCCAUAUGUAAUGCUCAUGUGCCCAAGGUUUCAGAACCCCUCCUUGGGAGAUCUCCGGGCCCUCUCCAAGGUGUUUUCAAAUGGAAACAUCCAGCUCAUGGUCUAAGAAAAUCACCAGAGGGCAGGGCCAGCCUGACCUGUCUGUUCUGGUUACUUUUGUCUAGGAGCAAUCUUUGGAUAUACAGAAUUUGGGAGGCCAAAUUCUAAUUUUGGCCAUGGGCCCUGGACAUGAAAAUGGGUUCUUUUCCUAAGGAAUGAAGGAACAUAGCUCCAUUGUUUCAGGGGCAGAUGAGAGCUGACCACCAGAGGCCAAGGCCAGCCAGAGCUGGCAGGUUUUUUUUCUGAGAGAUGCCCUUGCAUAUUGGAAAAUUUUUUAGGGAAAGUAUCAGUUUUGCCAAUGGGCAUCUGAAAAGAGGGAUGGUUCUUUUCAUAGCAAGGAAAGCAUGCAGCUCCAGUGUUCCAGGAGCUGAUGAGAGGCAGCCCUUGACAUCCCAAGAUCAGCCAGACCUAUCAGGUGGCCCCUGGGAGGCCAAGCCAGCCAGACCUGUUCCAUGUUCCCUUGGUUCGAUGGGGCCCUGACGUGUCAUAAUGUCCCCUUGGUGACACGAGGUCAUGAAGGGUGCUCAUGAUCUCCAUGGUUCCAUCAGGUCCCACAGAGUCAUAAUGGUCUCUGGGUUUCAUGAAGCCCCGCUGUGUCACCACAGCCCCUUGGUUCCAUGGGCUCCAGUGGUGCCACAAUGAUCCCCUUGGUUUCGUGAGGUCCCCACAGUGUCCCAGUGAUCUCCAUGGGAAGGAAAGAACCGACCCCCAGUGUUGCAGGGGCAGUCACCAGAGGCCAAGGCUUGAUGGUACUGGCAGAUUUUGCCUGGAAGCAACCCUUGGAUAUACAGAAUUUUAGAGGUGGAAUCCCAGUUUCAGACAUGGACACCUGGGGGAGAAGCACAGUUGUUUUCCAUAGGAAGGAAAGCACAGAACAGAGGUGUUUCCAGGGCAGAUGAAAGGCAGCCAUCAGAGGCCUAGGACAGCCAGACCUCUCUGUCCUGGUAGCUUUUGUCUGAAAGCAACCCUUGGAUAUAGCAAAUUUGGGAGGUGGAAUCCAAAUUUCGGCCAUUUCUGUGUAGAUAAGAAGGAUGGUUCUUUUCCAUGGGAAGGAAAGCACAGAGCCCAAGAGUUUCAAAGGCAGAAGAGGAGAGAGGUGGCUCUCGGGAGGCCAAGCCAGCCAGACAUGUUUGUCCUGGCAGCUUUUGUCAUGGAGGAAUCCUUGGAUAUAUGGAAUUUGGGAGGAAGAAUCUCAAUUUUGUCCACGGGCACCUUGAGAAGAAGGAUGGUACUUUUCCAUUGGAAGGAAAUCACCAACCCAAUGUGUUUGGUAAGCAGGUGAGAGGCAGCCCCCAAGAGGCCAAGGGCAGCCAGACCUGUCUGUCCUGGCAUCUUUCAUUGGGGAAAAAUCCUUGGAUGUAUGGAGCUCUUGAGAUGGAAUCCCAGAUUUGACCAUGGGCACCUGGUCAAGAUGAAUGGGGGUUUUUUUGUACUGGAAAAAAAGUGUGAAGUCCAAGUGUUCUGGAAGAAGAUGAGAUGUGGCCAGUCUUAGGCCAAGCCAGUCAGACCUGUCUCUGCUGGCACCUUUUGUCUAGGGGCUACCCUUGGCCAUAGGGCACUUUGGAUGUGGAAUCUCAAUUUUGGCCGUGGGCACCUGGACAGGAAGAAGAGUUCUUUUCAUUAUGAAGGAAAGCACAAAGCCCCAGUGUUUUAGAGGCAGAUGAGUAGCAGCCCUCAGGAAGCCAAGGCCAGCCACACUUGUCAGUCCUGGCAGCUUUUGUCUGGGAGUUAUCCUUGGAUAUAGGGAAUGCUGGAGGCAGAUGCCCAAUUUUAGCCAUGGGUGCCUGGUCGAGAUGGAUUUUUUUCCCAUAAGAAAAAAAAUCACAUGGUCCCAGUGUUUCAAAGUCAGAUGAGAGGUGGUUCCUGGAUGGCCAAGGCAGCCAGAGCUGUCACUCCUGGCAGAUUUCAUCUGGAAACAAUCUUUGCAUAUAAGGAAAUUUGGAGGAGGAAUCCCAGUUUUGACAAUGGGCCCCUGGAGGACAAGGAGAGUUCUCUACCAUAGGAAGGAAAGCCCAGAGCCCCAGUGCUUCAAGGACAGAUGAGAAAGCAGCCCUCGACAUGCCAAGGGCAGACAUCUGCUGAUAACAGGCUACUGAAUGUCACUGCAUGACUGAUAAGAACUACAGCAUCCCAUUGUGAGAUUCUCCGCCCAGAGGGGAGAACCAAGCAUUCCUACCAGAUAUAAUCUUAAAAAUUCUGGAACACCAACAUGGCUUUCUUCACUGGAUUUCCCAGAGGAACAGCUGCUGCCUCUUCCACUGGAUCUUCAGAGGAAGACUAUACCUUUCUACAGGAUCCCUGCUGCAGCAGAAGCACACCUGACACUCCAGGAGGACUGCAGCCACCAUUCCAAUUGGACUGCUACCAACACCCUGUGCAACAGGGUGUCAGGUUGUGUUCUGAUUCUGUCAGUGUUGUCUUGCUUUACUGCAUUGUUUAUUUUAUCUUUUUAUUUGUUUCCCUAAUAAAGAACUGUUAUUCCUGCUCCCAUA